GAUAAAAGAAUCUGCAUCUAACAUUUCCUUCUAAUAACUAUAUAUUCCUCUUUGUUGCCUCAAACCUAGUUCUUGAAUGGUAAUUCUUCUUUUCAGGGCUCUCAUGCCUAAUUCUUAACCUGCAUUUCAAGAACUUAAACCACAGUAAUUUUGUCCUUCUUUGGGUGUGUGAAAAUACCUGCUCCUGCCUGCCUUCUUAUUUCAGGAAUGACUUCUCCUUUUCAAAUCUGAGUUCUCUUUACACUGAGAUUGUUCUUUGUACAAUCUGUCUAUCCUUUGCCGCAGGAAUGAUGUUGUUUUAUGCUGGUGUCUUUGACAGAAAGAGCCAUUUACAUUUUGGGGAUUAACCUGAACAUAGAAUCUUUCCUGUGUUGCACCAUUAAACAAUCUCCUAGCAACAGUACUUUAGAAGCAUUAUUUUCCAAUUUACUUACUCACUGAGUCAUUAAGGCAAAAUGAAGACGUCAUCAUGAGUUUUCAGUACAUUGUUCUUCCUCACCAGAUUUAAGGGGUCUGAAUAUAGAGAUUCCUUGAGUCUGGGCAACACUGAAGGACUUCAAAACCUGGAAGAGGAGAACUGAAGCACCAAUGGGGAGGGGACAGAACUAAGAGGAAAGGAAACACAAUGAUCCGUGGAGAUGGAAUAUGGCCCCAUCUACAUUGAUGUAAAUGGCAAGAGAUCAUCCCGUUGUGUAUACCUUCCUAAUCCAUUCAUCUGUGUUGGGCACUUAGGCUGUUUCCUACCUAUGUGAAUAGUGCUACAAUGAACAUACAGGUACGGUGUUGGGAAAGGAUUCAGAAGAAGAAGAAAAUUUUGAAGUCCCACUGGUGUCAAACUGUUAAGUUCUCUGCAGUCAAAUAUACUAACUAUAAAUGUCUCCAAUUGCAAAAUUCAAGUCCUCUUUGAACAAUCUGCAUGUUAAGAAGAUCUCUAAAAUUAUUUUCUAAAUGUAGUCAUAUUGAGGUCAGCAUGUUCAGAUACAAAGAUUGACCAUGUCAUACAUGAGAAACUAUAAAAUUUCAGUGUUCAUGAACUUGAAGAGUUAUAUGGAUGUGCUCGUGGCUAGCAGAAAUUACUAAAGUGAGAAG